CAGCCGCCGCGGUAAAACAGAGGGUGCAAGCGUUAAUCGGAAUUACUGGGCGUAAAGCGCGCGUAGGUGGUUUGUUAAGUUGGAUGUGAAAGCCCCGGGCUCAACCUGGGAACUGCAUCCAAAACUGGCAAGCUAGAGUACGGUAGAGGGUGGUGGAAUUUCCUGUGUAGCGGUGAAAUGCGUAGAUAUAGGAAGGAACACCAGUGGCGAAGGCGACCACCUGGACUGAUACUGACACUGAGGUGCGAAAGCGUGGGGAGCAAACAGGAUUAGAUACCCCGGUAGUCCCUGUCUCUUAUAC
rnacentral:rRNA from 1 species